rnacentral:lncRNA from 1 species
GCAAAUAUGAUCAUGAUGAUGUUUACAUGUAAAGGAAUUUAUCUUACCUCCUAUAGAUUUAUAGAGAUAUGAUUGGUUAAAGGACUACACAUGAUGACGAUGUAUAUUUGAUAUAGGGUGACCUAAAAAAUAUAUGGUUAGCAACCAUACAUGGUUAGUUACCAUAUGGGGUUAAUAAGGAGUUACCUCCCUUUCAAAACAAAAAAGAUGCCACAACCCUUUAUAAAAACAACACAGUGUUGAGGGAAAAUCUGAAAAGAUUCAACAGACGAAGAAAUUGAUGAUAAAAGGUUGAAAUUAGUUCAUAAAAUAUAAUAAAAGCUAACAAGUUGUUAUUGUUGACAUACCGGGGCUACUUCCCUUUCGAAACAAAAAAAGAAAUCUGAAAGAAUUCAACAGACAAAGUAAUCAGAAUACAUGUAAUGAACGAUUGAAAUUAAUCCAUAAAACAAAUUUAAAGCUAAAAAGUUGCAAUUGUUAGAAUCUGUUUUCUGUAUUUACAAAUGUAAGUAGGAUCUUUAUACUAAGUAUUAAAGACUUGAUCAUUUGAUAGGCCCUUAGUCAAAAUACCACAUGUGAAGCUAGUCAGUAAGAUAGAUUCAUUACACUGUGUGCUAGUGACCUAAUGCGAUAUAUAACCC